CCCCAGCGCCACGAGUGGUUAUCACGAUUAUUGGGCCUAAAGCGUUCGUAGCCGGUCUGGUGCAUCUCUUGUGAAAUUGUUUGGCUUAACCAAACAGCGUGCAGGAGACACGGCCAGACUCGAGACCGGGGAGGCGCAUGAAGUAUGCCGUGGGGGACUGGUAAAAUGGGGAUAAUCCACGGUAGACUACCGAUGGCGAAGGCAUCAUGCGAGAACGGAUCUGACGGUGAGGAACGAAAGCUAGGGGAGCGAAACCGG
rnacentral:rRNA from 1 species